rnacentral:rRNA from 1 species
ACUCAAAGGAAUAGACGGGGGCUCACACAAGCGGUGGAGCAUGUGGCUUAAUUCGAGGCUACGCGAAGAACCUUAUCCUGGGCUUGACAUGUGCGAAAGCGCAAGGAAGUAAGGCGCGGAAACGCGUCCCCAACGGUAUCCAGUCCGGAACCUUGCACAGGUGCUGCAUGGCUGUCGUCAGCUCGUGUCGUGAGAUGUCGGGUUAAGUCCCAUAACGAGCGAAACCCCUGUCCCUAGUUGCUAACCCGCAAGGGAGGACUCUAGGGAGACUGCCGGUGUCAAACCGGAGGAAGGUGGGGAUGACGUCAAGUCCUCAUGGCCUUUAUGCCCAGGGCUGCACACGUGCUACAAUGGCGCGUACAGAGGGAGGCCAACCCGCAAGGGGGAGCAAAUCCCAAAAAGCGCGCCCCAGUUCAGAUCGAGGGCUGCAACCCGCCCUCGUGAAGGUGGAAUCGCUAGUAAUCGCAGGUCAGCAACACUGCGGUGAAUGUGUUCCUGAGCCUUGCACACACCGCCCGU